UACGUAGGCAGCAAGCGUUGUUCGGAGUUACUGGGCGUAAAGGGUGCGUAGGUGGCUCUAUAAGUAUGGUGUGAAAUUUCCCGGCUUAACUGGGAGGGUGCGCCGUAGACUGUGGGGGCUAGAGUGUGGGAGAGGAAAGUGGAAUUCCUGGUGUAGCGGUGAAAUGCGUAGAUAUCAGGAGGAACACCGGUGGUGUAAACGGCUUUCUGGACCAUAACUGACACUGAGGCACGAAAGCGUGGGUAGCAAACAGG
rnacentral:rRNA from 1 species